GCAGGCAGUUGUUUUCCCCCAACAGCAGCUCUGGCUUUGGAGGGACCUGGCACCUUGCCCUCAAGCGCAGCCAAGACCUCAGCCUUGCUUGGAGCUGCUUGUGGCCCCAAGAUUGCAAAGAGAAGCGUUUAUGGAGGGCUUUAAAAGGAGAGUUGGGUACUGCGUUUUGGGUCCCGUCUGGAAUAUAAACCCAGGAAUGUCCUCAGCAGCGAGUGGUUCUGAGCCGGGCACGCUUUUCCUAAAAUGGUUUAUGACAGAGAAGCUGCGAAUCCCGCUUGUUCUGCCCCGCCGUGCCAGGAGCGUGAGCUUCCUCCGGCUGCUCGUGCCUGAUGCUUUCAAAGACCAAAGGUGUCGCCGUGGUUCAUCCCUGGUAGCAUCCGUGCGAGAUUCACCCCUCGGGCGGGAGCUCUGCCGGGGCGGAGAGGAGGAUGUCGUCUCCGAAAGGAGCUUUUUACCGGGGCCGCGGUGGGACGAGGCGGCCGCACGCUUCUCCCAGCAGCUCGUGGCUCGCACGCGGCAGCCCCGCGAACGAGGCGCCUUGCGGAGCGGCUCCGGUUUUGCCUGUGUGUGAGGGUCUCGGCUGCGAUUUUGCGGGCAGAAAACAGGUGAAUGUUGUAACUCCGACGCCUCCCGGGGCGCCCUUUGGGGACGAUGCUCGCUGCAGCGGUCGGGACGUCGGGGCUGGGAGGAUCGUUGAUUUUCAGCUGCGUUACCCAGAAACCCACGCGCGCUCGUCGCGCCUCGGGAGGGCGCGCGGCAUCGCCGGUCACCCGAGUGCCUCGGACGUGAUUUAAAGCCUCACAACAGCCCCGUGAGGUAGAUGUUAUCCUUGAAGCAGGCGCGCGAGGAGGAAGGAAUGCGCUGAAGACGAGCGGGACGUCCGGCAGCYGCUGCCCGAAACCCGAGCGGGAUGUCCGGCACCUCGGCAUCGUCGCUGGCCGUGGGACCGUGCCGCAGCGGAGCAGGGCAGAGGGAAACGUCUCCUCUGGCAGCAAGGAAAAAACAUCAAGACGCACAUGAACUAAUCCUCACGCACAGCAAGUACAAGAAGAGAAAGCACGGACAUAAAAGCGUCUCCUGUCGAGCCCUAGCUGUGUGGCAAAGGAAAUCCUGUACCAGUCUCUUAAAUUUUCUUUAACCUUCCAUAGUGCAAAUGGUACCUUAGCACAAAGCAGUCUCUCGUUACAGAAGUUUUUACAGUGAACAUUCAGCGUUCCCGAGUCAGAUGCUUCGCUUCGCUCCUGCCGUUCGGGAAGAAUCGCAUCUCCUCUCACCAUCAGCUCCGGCCUUCGCGCCACUCCUCGGCUCCGGCACGGUGACGUUCGGGCCUCGGCGGGAAAGACGGGCUCCAGGCGGGGACGGGCUGCGCGGCCGGGGCGCCGGCGCCGCUGGGAAACGCUCCGCGGCUCCUCCCGAGGUUCCUCCUGGGAGCCGCGGCAGGAGCUGGCGAAGCGAACCCAGCCGUUGGGGGACGCGGACGUUGCCAGAGCGCCGGCCGCGCUGGCGCCCAGCGGAGGUGCCGGGAAGCUGCCGGGAGUCCCAGGUGAGGGCUGGGAGCUGAAAGCUCUGAA
ensembl:lncRNA